UUUCAUCGGGCAUUUCGGUAAAUCGCGGGCAUUUUGGUAAUUCUAUAUACCUAGUUGUGACUUCCACAAAAUAAAAAAAAUUGUAUGCAUUACUACUUAACAUUCGCCAACCACGAAAUCAAGUCCUAAUAUAAACAAACUGUUGUUUUAAAAAAGUCAUAAUUGGAAUCUACAACGUAUAGAUACAGAUGUACAGAAAGCAAUAUUUUAUCAUCCCUAAACCUCGAGAAUUUAACCCGCGAGAAUAUGUGAUUUUACAGUAGGGUCAUAAAUACAGCAAAUAAGUUCUUUGUCAGUGAAUUAAAAAUAGGUAUGAAUUGUUUAAUUGAUUUUAUAAUAAGAAUUAACAGUUUUAAUCAAAAAAAAUAUUUUUGCCAAAUAUUUUAAAUUUUUUUUUCAGGGGAAAUAUGGAAAAGUUUGAGUUUCUGUCUAUUUUUGUUUACUUUUUAUUGAAUUUAGUAUUGCGUGUCGCUUGUGUUUUCUUCAAGUUCCCUGUCCUAUUUUACACUUCCCUGGUUAUUGACAUCCUUUUACUGUUUUGUUUUGGAGUUUACGUGUCAAUUUUGUACUGCCAAAGGGGUAAGAAUUUUAAGAUUGGUCCAUCUUAAAAUGAUGUUUUCUUGUCCUUUCCUGACUCGGGGUGAAAUUACUGGGUGGUAGGUAGGUGAGAAAAUCUUUUUUCCAAAAAAAUUUGACUUAUUUGAUGACGGGAUAAAGAAUUAAAAAGAAAAAAAUAUGUCCUGGAAUGUAAUAAAAAAUUAAAUAGGGCCAUUUUUGGUUACCGGUAGUCGAUUUGGAAAGGGCAACAAAACAUUUUUUGUAAGAUAACCAUAUAGGCAUACAACUAAUAUGAAAUCUUAGAUAAAAGCAUAUACAUGAAUAUUACAGGAUUCCUUUUCUUAUUACUGCUAAACUCUAGCUCUGUGACUGAUGAAAUUCUGAGAGAGAGCUACAGGAUACAAGUUUUGUAAAAACCUCGAUUUAUGGCCACCGUGUUUUAGUCACUUGCUUCAAGUUUUAUUUCUUCUAUUAAAUGAUUUCUCACAUGUUCUCAUUUCAUCCCCUGUACAUGUAGCAUUUGAAAUUUUAGCUGUUUGCAGGAGCAAUCUUGGUGUAACAACACAUCUAUAGUUUUGAAGAAUAUUCAGGCCUAAAAUAAAAAAAAAAAUGGUUUGUUUGCAGUUGCCUAUCAACCCACUAAAAAUGCGCCCGACUCAAACUUUUUUACAGCCAUUAUUUGAUUGUUUUUGGGUUUUUUUUUAAAGUUUCAAAUUUUUAGGAUGUUCAAACUUUUUUGUCUAUUUUCAAAAUUUUUGUUUCUGUCAAUAAGUGGCAUAAAGUAAGUAGAGCUUUAUUUACCUACAAUAAUCCUAUAAUCCAAUAAAUCUCUGAUUUGUAAUAAGGUUGGCCUCAUGUAUGAAUAAAGUUAUUUGAUUUAUUGAAAUUCUAUUUUAAUCCCAUAAACAGGAAGUAAUCAAUCACAUGUGAAAAACAUUCAAGAUGGAGGACUGUGAUUUGCCAUGUGCAGUUAUUCUAUUUCAUUCUGAUCUUGAUUUCUCUCAAGCAUGUGCAUUUUGCUCUGACAUGGAUAUAGAUGUUUUAGAAACUGAAAUAUAUGGUUAUAGUUGUUUAGUAUUUUUUUUACAAAUGGAAUUUAGUGCAGUUUUGUUUUUUUGCAACCUCAGUGGUUUUUCUGUUCAUAAGUAUAUUCAGCAGU
rnacentral:sRNA from 1 species